ACCUUAUCCGGUCGCUUGCUCGCACCGCUCGCUUGCUCUCGCUCGCUCUCCCUCUCCUCUCCCUCGCCGGCCACCUUAUCCCCUUCCCUCGUCGCCUCUCCCUCGCCGGCCUCUCCUCUCCGUGGCCGGCCACUCCCUUUCCUCGUCGCCGCCUUCCCCCUCUCCUCGUCACCGGCCUCUUCCUCUUCCCGUCGCCGGCCUCUUCCACCGCCCCUUUCUCCCCACCACCCAGCCUUCACUCACACCCCGUAGGCAAAAUUGAUUCUUUUUGCGUCGGCGACGAGCUUCUCUGUGACGGAGGCAUGGAUGUGUAGCAGCGUCAGAGCUGGAUAUGGGCUAGGGGGCGUGGAUGUGGAGCGGCGCCCGAGGGGACCUAGAGCGACGGAUCUCACGAGUCGGAGCAGCGCCCAAGCGGACCUAGAGUGGUGGCGGAGCAGCAGAGCGGCGGAUCUGACGAGUCGGAGCAGCGCCUGAGCGGACCUAGAGUGGCGCCGGAGCCUCCACGUCGUCGUACAGACCAUUGACUAGCUCCGCGGGUCGCCGGGCUUCUGGCGAAGAUCUUCGUGUGGGUCCUGGGGAUGCCGGUGGUGGGCUGGGUCCUGCUCUACAUCCUCAAGAAGGACAAUCUCAUCAACAAGCCGUAAGCAAGUCAAUAACGGAGACGGUCGAGCACUGUCAUCACACUGAACCUGCAACACCAGUGAGAUGACUGAAGAUUGGGUUGUGGUUGGAAUGAGAGGAGAAGCAAAUCACUUGACCAGUUGAAUCCUUGGGUGUACAAGACGGCCGAGCUGUGGCAGGUGAAGGAGCCGCUGCCGCUGCCCGCGCUGAAGAAGCGCAACUGCUCCAUGGUGUUCACCCUCAAGGAGAUGCAGGAGGCCACCGGCAUGUUCAGCGACAAGAACCUCAUCGGCAAGGGCGGCUUCGGCCGGGUUUACAGGGGCGUGCUCAAAGAUGGGCAGAUUCUCUUGAUUGGAGUGGAGAGGAGCAGAGACGAGAGGAGCAGCAGAAGUGGACAGCGCAGCGGCUGACCUUGAGCUCUUGAUUGGAGUGGGGGGAGGCGGCCGGCGAAGGAUCUGUGGCCAGCAACGAAGGAUCCGAAGUUGUGGCGGAGCAAGCAGCCGGCGGGAAGGGCGGCUGGCGAGGGAGCUGCGGAUCUUGGCGCGGAAGGGCGGCCGAUGAGGGAGCUGCGGACCACGGCGGGGAAGGGCGGCCGGCCGGCGAGGGAGCUGCGGACCGCGGCGGGGAAGGACGCCGGAGAUGCGGACGACGGAGGAGCCCGGCGAAAGGGAGCAGCGACGGCGGAGAAGCCUGGCGGAGUGGAGGAGCGACGGAGGAAGACGUACGCCUCCCGAUGGAUUUCAAAUCGGGGGUAGUAUUGUACUUUCACACUAUUUCACCUGUGAUGAUUUUUGCAGAACCACAUGCCGAUGGUGCACUUGCCUUUGGAAUUAAAGAUCAGCUUACUACACUAACCAGAUAUCAUAUAUAAAUACUCUACUCUACAGCAGUAUGAAGGGAUUUCAGGGCUAGCAAAUAUGUUAAAGAUAGAUACAGAGAAAGGCAAUUAGGGGAGUGGAUUCCGAUAAUGAUGCGAAAAAAAUUCCUUUGGGUCGAACACAUACUCUUGAAAGAAAGCAAGAAGCUUCUUGGUAAUGGAGAUGGUUCUCUUAUAUUUGGUAGGAGUCAGAAAAAAUCCAGCAUGGAAAAACACCACAUUCAACAUGGUGUAAUUAUGAUGAUCUAAACGAGUAUUCCUGGACUUCUGAUUGUUUCUCACUGCCAUGACCAAUACGGGAUGAUGGUGGCUUCUUCAAAUAUGUGCAAGAUAUGUCCUCUUUAGCAUCACUGGAUUUUUGAAAACGUUAUAUCUGAAUUUAGAGUGCACUUCUGCAAAAAAGAUUUUGUCCUGAUUACUAUUUCGAUUUUAUUUCUGUAGGCACUGUGAAAUGAUCGAAUGCCGCUAAUCAUUUUGGAGGUUUGUUGUAGGGUGCUCUACCAGGUCAUAAUAUGCACCCACACAAUUCAAGUUCAUAUUCUGGAAGGACAUUGACCAACGAACCUUGUAGUAAUGUUACAGGUCAUAAAAUUGUGUAUUCCUACUAACCAUCAUUGCAUGUGUGCAGUGGUUAGAGAUUUUGUAGUGGAUAAUCAAUUAUCUUUAUCUGCUUCUAACUCAAGGAAUCAUACUGCAACAUUUCCUCCAGUGCAGGCAAACUCAAAUGAUAGUUAGUAAACUUGGUUAGUAAUAUUUUUUGUUUUCUUACCUUGCAUUUGUGAUACGUCACUGAACAUGUUUAUUAGUUUGUCACGUCACUCCUGCUUGACAUGCCAAUUCACAAAGGGCAGCCCGGUGCACAUCGCUCCCGCUUGCGCAGGGUCCGGGGAACGGUCCGACCACUUGACAUGCCAAUUCACAAAAAUGAAAGAAAUCCAGAUGACCUGUGAACCUCCCUGUUGACAUAAAAUUAAUGUUGUUUUAUGUCUAAGCCUCAUCUAUCAUAUACAUGUACAGUUACGGUGGUGGAUUUCAAUUCCUGUAACUUAGUUUUCUUACGAGAUGUAACUCAUCUACUAAUAUAUAGUAGUAUGUAUAAAGUUUCUUAAUCAAGCUAGCCUAAUGGACGGCACCAUACUUAGCCAAGCUAAUAGACGACCCAUGCCCAGUACGAUUUUUUCAACUGCUGUAUAAUGGUAUUAUGAUUUCGUGCUCUUUUUCAGAAAAUCUGGGUGAUGAAGCUGACUCAAUAGAUCCAGAUUUUGGCCGCUAAAGCUGGUAGUGCAUCCUUGUCUAUGGUGUGGACAGAGGGAGAAAGGAGGCAAUUAACUACAGUCUGAAUGUAAAAUAAAAUUGUCUAAAUUAAAAUAGAAUCUGAUAAAACAAAACAAAGGAGGUCAUUAACUAGAGAAUUAGGCUGGACUAGAUAUACAUAUUAUACUGUAUUUUCCCACUAAAAACAUCCAGCGGGGAGGCUGAUGCAGCACUAUCACGAAUUGUUCCAGCUCUUCCUGAAUCGAUAUGGUUUGUCGAUGUUGGGAUCCUCGACGGUGAUUAGCAACUGAAUCGUGGAUGGAAGUACACUUUACUUCAAAGGAUUGCACACAUAUGAAGCGGUUAUUGAUGAAGUCAUGGAAAAGGGACUUGCCAAUGCUACACAGUCAUGAAAUCUUUGUCUGUUUCACUCUUCUUCCAUACAUGAUAUGCAAGGUUCUUGGGAUGCUCGGUACUGUUGCCAGGAGGUACAAAAUGGUUUGAUCUGUCAAGCAUGGAUUGCUGAAGCACAAAAUACAAGGGGGUGCAUGAGGAGGCGAGAGCUGACGGCAACCAUUGGAGGAGGUCUGGUCGGUCGAAGAGUAAGGCGUGGGCAACUCCGGAGAGAUUUGGCUUGAGCAAAUGUCGAUGCUGCUGCAAUGAGAAGACCCUUUCUGUGAGCCCUAUCCCUCUCAUUUAGCGUCUCGAUUUUGGGUUCUUCUGCUCCCUGUUUCUCUGUUCAUUUGUGGUGAUGGAUAGAAAGCAUCCAUACUUCCAUAGGCAGAAGCUUGCACUUACCAAAUAGGCAUGUAAUUCAGGCAAUAGCUGAGCUCCCAGCCUCCUAAGACUGGCAUGGGCACAUCAAUAAGGGCAUGGAGCCCGUCAAAGAGGAGGUCGGAGCGGCGUUGGACCUGGAUCAACUCAUCUAAAUCAAGCGGCCGGCCUCGGCUGGGAGUCACCAACGCUCCACCUGGACGGCGUCGGCUGGGGCAGCUCCACAUGCAAUGGCUGGCCGGGGACCAGACCUCGACAGGAACGUGUUGCCCUUUGAGCCGGUGCAGAGCGACAAGUUCGUAGCAUCGUUAUAGUUUUUUGCACAAAGAUAGACCCUGUAGUACUGAUCAGGUGAAACAGAUCGAUGUGGCACUGGUACUGAACUGAAGCAACAAUUUGUUCAACAAAAUAUGAUCCAAAUAGAGCGCAUAUUAGUUUCUAUAA